AACGAACGCUGGCGGCAGGCCUAACACAUGCAAGUCGAACGCUCCAGCAAUGGAGAGUGGCAGACGGGUGAGUAACGCGUGGGAACCUUCCCUAUGGUUCGGAAUAGCCCAGGGAAACUUGGGGUAAUACCGAAUAAGCCCUUCGGGGGAAAGAUUUAUCGCCAUUGGAUGGGCCCGCGUCGGAUUAGCUAGUUGGUGGGGUAACGGCCUACCAAGGCGACGAUCCGUAGCUGGUCUGAGAGGAUGAUCAGCCACACUGGGACUGAGACACGGCCCAGACUCCUACGGGAGGCAGCAGUGGGGAGUAUUGGACAAUGGGCGAAAGCCUGAUCCAGCAAUGCCGCGUGAGUGAUGAAGGCCUUAGGGUUGUAAAGCUCUUUUACCCGGGAUGAUAAUGACAGUACCGGGAGAAUAAGCUCCGGCUAACUCCGUGCCAGCCGCCGCAGUAA
rnacentral:rRNA from 1 species